CCUACGGGAGGCAGCAGUGAGGAAUAUUGGUCAAUGGGCGGGAGCCUGAACCAGCCAAGUCGCGUGAGGGAAGACGGUCCUAUGGAUUGUAAACCUCUUUAGGCGGGGAGCAAUGCCGGGCACGCGUGCCCGGAGGGAGAGUACCCGCAGCAUAAGCAUCGGCUAACUCCGUGCCAGCACCCGCGGUAAGACGGGGGGUGCAAGCGUUAUCCGGAUUUAUUGGGUUUAAAGGGUGCGUAGGCUGUGAGUGAAGUCAUCGGUGAAAUGCCCCCGCUCAACGGGGUGAAGUGCUAUUGAUACUGCCUUGCGUGAAUGCGGAUGCGGUGGGAGGAAUGUGUGGUGUAGCGGUGAAAUGCAUAGAUAUCACACAGAACACCGAUUGCGAAGGCAUCUCACGAAUCCGCGAUUGACGCUGAUGCACGAAAGCGUGGGUAUCAAACAGGAUUAGAUACCCGUGUAGUC
rnacentral:rRNA from 1 species